rnacentral:rRNA from 1 species
UGGAUGAUGUGGUUUAAUUCAACGGCAAUCGAAGAACCUUACCAGGGUUUGAAAUGUAUCUGCAUGCCCUAUGAAAAUAGGGAGGCCUUCGAGGGUGAUACACAGGUGCUGCAUGGCCGCCGUCAGCUCGUGUCGUGAGAUGUAGGGUUAAGUCCCGAAACGAGCGCAACCCCUAUUCUAUGUUACAAGUGUCUUAGAAAACCGCCUCGGUAAAACGAGGAGGAAGGUGGGGAUGACGUCUGGUCCGCAUAGCCCUUAUGUCCUGGGCUACACACGCGCUACAAUGGCCGAUACAGUAGGAAGCCAAAUCGUAGGAUGGAGCUAAUCCUUAAAGUCGGUCUCAGUUCGGAUUGAGGUCUGAAAUUCGACCUCAUGAAGUUGGAUUUGCUAGUAAUCGUAGAUCAGCAAUGCUACGGUGAAUACGUUCUCGGGUCUU